rnacentral:rRNA from 1 species
GUUAACGCUGGCGGUAUGUAUAAUACAUGCAAGUCGAGUGGGUUUAGACCCACGGCGAACGGGUGAGUAACACGUUGGAACCUGCCCCGGACUCAGGGAUAACUCGCAGAAAUGCGAGCUAAUACCGGAUGGUCCCGCAAGGGUAAAGCUUUUGCGGUCCGGGAGGGGCCUGCGGCCUAUCAGCUAGUUGGUGAGGUAACGGCCCACCAAGGCUAUGACGGGUAGUUGGUCUGAGAGGAUGAUCAACCACAAUGGGACUGAGACACGGCCCAUACUCCUACGGGAGGCAGCAGUAAAGAAUCUUCCGCAAUGGGCGAAAGCCUGACGGAGCAAUACCGCGUGAACGAUGAAGGUCGUAAGAUUGUAAAGUUCUUUUCUGGGGGAAUAAUUCUGAAGGUACCCCAGGAAUAAGCACCGGCUAACUCUGU